rnacentral:tRNA from 1 species
GCUGGUAAUGUAGCUUAGUGGUAGAGUGUUUGCCUGGCAUGAUGCACAAUGCCCUAGGUUUGAUUUCCAGCACAGCA